CCCUUCCAAGCGUCUUCCUUUCGCCACAACGUGGAACGGCAUAUGCGACGUGCAGCGUUGGACAACUCAGCCGAAAGCACUGCUAAGCCGAACAGAGACAUGCCAAUAUCAUAGACUGUCCGCCGGCACUGACAGCAACACAUGGGGAGAGGGCGAGGGCCAGCACUCCAGCGAUCUGUGGAUUACAGUGCGUGCGUGCGCCGCCUCUUCUCUUUUACUUCUUUGUGCAUGUAUCUGCGCUUUUUGUUUUCUUCUUAUGACAUCGUCUGGCCCCUGACGACGGGGGGGAGGGCACCUCGGUGCGUGGUAGCUCAGGACCCCGCGCCCCCCCACCCAGAGCGGGUCGGGGGAGGCCCAGCAGCAGCCCUAUCCCUGCCACACGUCUCGAGGCACCUCUGGUGGUGGCAGGGCCGAGCACCGACGACGUAGGGGGAGGCCCGAGCGCUGCAUCGCCCCUGAUGUCGGCGGCCAGGCCGUGGAUGGCGUGGUGUCGGAGCGGCCUGCGACAGUGCACACGUCUGAGCCAUGCACAUGAUAGGCAGAGCGUCAGCGUGGCUCAAGCGUAUCUCCCACUCCCCGCCCCCUCACUGCCCACUGGUUGGAGGGGCCUGGGUGUCGCCGCCGAGGGGGACGCGCCAGGUGGCGGCCGGCAUAGUGUGAGCGGCGGUGAGGCGACCCGCGGAGCGGGGGUGCUGGGUGGCGUUUGAGGCCGAGGCGGCCCACUCAGAUGGCUGAGUGGGCGCACUGCUGUAGCGCGUGUCUAGGGCUGCGUCGCGCCAGGCGACGGGCCUUUGGCGGGCCGGGUAGAGCUGAGUUGAGGUCGUGCUCUGUGACAGCGACAUGGAAACGCAG
rnacentral:misc_RNA from 1 species